AUUUUCGCUCACUUUAGGGUUUGUUCACAGUAGGGGUGGAGCCAACUCGAAUACGGUAUUCGGAAAGACACAAAUAACGUGUUUUUCACGAAUACUUUAAAAAAUAUUUGUAUACGGGAACAAGAAAAACUUUAUAUCAAAAAGCUUCCUUAUGAGACCGCACUGCAUGCCCGGAUGAGUGAGUGACGUGUAAAAGGUGACUGACACCGGCUGCUCCACACAGCAACAGAGAAGCCUCGGCUAAGCCUUGAAAGACUGAACUGCAUCACUAUUUUUGAUCAAUAGAUUUUUUUUUAACCUUAACUGGGUUCCGGAGGCAGUUUAUAACUUUCACGAAGAUCGGGAGAUUGAUCAAUUACGCUGCACUAUUGACGCCUGCAGUCGGGUGCUCUCAUGUUCGCUCUGUUUACGUAGCUCUGUUAGCUGACAUGGCUGGUAAGGACAUGAGGAGGAAACAGGAGGAGCUGUGUGAGGCUACUAAAGGCAGUGGAACCCUCACCAGCUGGAUUACAAACAGCACAGAUGGACAGCAAGUGGAGAGUGAUAGAUGAGAUGAGGAGAUGAAGGAGGAAGACGACAAGGCCACCUCACAACAGUGAUGUAGUAUGAUGCGAUCCCAUAUUAGAUUCUUGAUGAAUGUGUGUUGUUGUUAUUCAGCCUGGUUCAAUGUGCCCCUUUUUAACUUUGAGCACCCGCCCCUUUAAACGUCUCUGCACGGCCCUGUUCUGUCUUUUACAGACAGCAAGAUAUAGGGGGUGUCCAAAUUCUUGGGCUGCAUCCUCCUGAGGACGCAUUUGUAGGCCGAUUACGUCACAGCGACGUGACGAAGGCUGUCCAAAUUCGUCGACUCCUCUGAAUG